UGGCUGUAUGAUGGUCUUACGCUGGUGGCGCUGUCUCAUAGCAUUAAUUUGAAUUUAACUUUUGGGUGAAAAGGCCCAGAUAAACCUAAAAGACUAUUAGACCCUAUCGAACUUUAGGUAGAUUCUCUACCGGGGCCUUGGUUAACAAGAAGCGCCUGAAUAGGGUAAAAACCUUUGGUUGGGGUAACCGGGGACUAAGAAAAACGCCCCCCCCCUUUUUUCGUAUGUAAACACCCGUUAUGAUAAGGGUAAUACAGAUUUUACCCCCAGGGCAAUUGGCCAAAAGGAAAGUAAUUUUUUAGGAAGUUAUAUAGGAAUGACAAUUCAUGUGUUACUUGUAAAAUGAACCUAAAGACCCACAACUUGUGGGAAGCUGUUAAUAGGGAAGAGUUACCGUAUGGAUAACACCCUAAUCUUCCCGGCGAGACCACAUUAAGGGGAAGGUUUGCGACCUCUAUGUUGGCUACC
rnacentral:rRNA from 1 species